rnacentral:tRNA from 1 species
UCCCUGGUAGCUCAAUUGGUAAAGCAUCUGCUUGCAAUGCAGGAGACCCUGGUUCAACUCCUGGGUUGGGAA